CACACACACACACAGUCAGCUCUGUGAAGUGAUCUAACUGGCUGCCUUGAAUAUACAUCUGAUUGAUAUUCGGCCGAGGGGCGGGUGUUGGGUCAAAGUCAGGUUGAGCGAGUGAAUAAAUAAUGACACAAAGAGACGGAGACAUGUUGGGAAACAGAGAGGCGAUUACAAUGAAACUGGUCCAACCGAUCGGAGCUGAUGCACCUUGUUUGGCCUGAAGGGCUGCUGAGGAGGAUACAAGUACGACAACAGCGCCCUCUUCCGGUGAACACACACACCGAGUCCUCCCAACAUCAGUCCCUCACAGUUUGGAGGUUAUUCGCAGUGCAACUGCUGAAAUACACUGGAACACAACCGCGGUGCAUGCACAACGCCUGGCUAAAGUUCUGGAAAUGCUGACACAUUACUAUGUUUGGUUAUAACUGUCAACCUAAAGUGCUGAGGGGUGUUUUAGUGAGAUGAUGCCCAACAACAGUGCUCAGAGCCAUCUCAUCUGGUUGAAGAAUCUAGAGGGAGUCUAAACUAAUAAAUCAGCCCAGACCAGCCAUGUUUGGCACCUCGGUAGAGACGCAGCAACUGAGGGAGAUCUGGCUUGCCACAUCUGGCACUGGACUGGAACCCUGGGAGGGGCCGAAUCCCUGAUCAGGAGAACCCAGGGAGAAGCCACUGAGGCUGGGCUAGAUGCCCUGAUUUCCCCCUGGUGCCCUGGA